UGGGUGAUGGCGUGCCUUUUGUAGAAUGAACCGGCGAGUUACGAUUUGAUGCAAGGUUAAGCAGUAAAUGUGGAGCCGUAGCGAAAGCGAGUCUGAAUAGGGCGUUUAGUAUUUGGUCGUAGACCCGAAACCAGGUGAUCUACCCUUGGUCAGGUUGAAGUUCAGGUAACACUGAAUGGAGGACCGAACCGACUUACGUUGAAAAGUGAGCGGAUGAACUGAGGGUAGCGGAGAAAUUCCAAUCGAACCUGGAGAUAGCUGGUUCUCUCCGAAAUAGCUUUAGGGCUAGCCUCAAGUGAUGAUUAUUGGAGGUAGAGCACUGUUUGGACGAGGGGCCCCUCUCGGGUUACCGAAUUCAGACAAACUCCGAAUGCCAAUUAAUUUAACUUGGGAGUCAGAACAUGGGUGAUAAGGUCCGUGUUCGAAAGGGAAACAGCCCAGACCACCAGCUAAGGUCCCAAAAUAUAUGUUAAGUGGAAAAGGAUGUGGCGUUGCCCAGACAACUAGGAUGUUGGCUUAGAAGCAGCCAUCAUUUAAAGAGUGCGUAAUAGCUCACUAGUCGAGUGACACUGCGCCGAAAAUGUACCGGGGCUAAACAUAUUACCGAAGCUGUGGAUUGUCCUUUGGACAAUGGUAGGAGAGCGUUCUAAGGGCGUUGAAGCAUGAUCGUAAGGACAUGUGGAGCGCUUAGAAGUGAGAAUGCCGGUGUGAGUAGCGAAAGACGGGUGAGAAUCCCGUCCACCGAUUGACUAAGGUUUCCAGAGGAAGGCUCGUCCGCUCUGGGUUAGUCGGGUCCUAAGCUGAGGCCGACAGGCGUAGGCGAUGGAUAACAGGUUGAUAUUCCUGUACCACCUAUAAUCGUUUUAAUCGAUGGGGGGACGCAGUAGGAUAGGCGAAGCGUGCGAUUGGAUUGCACGUCUAAGCAGUAAGGCUGAGUAUUAGGCAAAUCCGGUACUCAUUAAGGCUGAGCUGUGAUGGGGAGAAGACAUUGUGUCUUCGAGUCGUUGAUUUCACACUGCCGAGAAAAGCCUCUAGAUAGAAAAUAGGUGCCCGUACCGCAAACCGACACAGGUAGUCAAGAUGAGAAUUCUAAGGUGAGCGAGCGAACUCUCGUUAAGGAACUCGGCAAAAUGACCCCGUAACUUCGGGAGAAGGGGUGCUCUUUAGGGUUAACGCCCAGAAGAGCCGCAGUGAAUAGGCCCAAGCGACUGUUUAUCAAAAACACAGGUCUCUGCUAAACCGUAAGGUGAUGUAUAGGGGCUGACGCCUGCCCGGUGCUGGAAGGUUAAGAGGAGUGGUUAGCUUCUGCGAAGCUACGAAUCGAAGCCCCAGUAAACGGCGGCCGUAACUAUAACGGUCCUAAGGUAGCGAAAUUCCUUGUCGGGUAAGUUCCGACCCGCACGAAAGGCGUAACGAUUUGGGCACUGUCUCAACGAGAGACUCGGUGAAAUCAUAGUACCUGUGAAGAUGCAGGUUACCCGCGACAGGACGGAAAGACCCCGUGGAGCUUUACUGUAGCCUGAUAUUGAAAUUCGGCACAGCUUGUACAGGAUAGGUAGGAGCCUUUGAAACGUGAGCGCUAGCUUACGUGGAGGCGCUGGUGGGAUACUACCCUAGCUGUGUUGGCUUUCUAACCCGCACCACUUAUCGUGGUGGGAGACAGUGUCAGGCGGGCAGUUUGACUGGGGCGGUCGCCUCCUAAAAGGUAACGGAGGCGCUCAAAGGUUCCCUCAGAAUGGUUGGAAAUCAUUCAUAGAGUGUAAAGGCAUAAGGGAGCUUGACUGCGAGACCUACAAGUCGAGCAGGGUCGAAAGACGGACUUAGUGAUCCGGUGGUUCCGCAUGGAAGGGCCAUCGCUCAACGGAUAAAAGCUACCCCGGGGAUAACAGGCUUAUCUCCCCCAAGAGUUCACAUCGACGGGGAGGUUUGGCACCUCGAUGUCGGCUCAUCGCAUCCUGGGGCUGUAGUCGGUCCCAAGGGUUGGGCUGUUCGCCCAUUAAAGCGGUACGCGAGCUGGGUUCAGAACGUCGUGAGACAGUUCGGUCCCUAUCCGUCGUGGGCGUAGGAAAUUUGAGAGGAGCUGUCCUUAGUACGAGAGGACCGGGAUGGACAUACCUCUGGUGUACCAGUUGUCGUGCCAACGGCAUAGCUGGGUAGCUAUGUGUGGACGGGAUAAGUGCUGAAAGCAUCUAAGCAUGAAGCCCCCCUCAAGAUGAGAUUUCCCAACUUCGGUUAUAAGAUCCCUCAAAGAUGAUGAGGUUAAUAGGUUCGAGGUGGAAGCAUGGUGACAUGUGGAGCUGACGAAUACUAAUCGAUCGAAGACUUAAUCAA
rnacentral:rRNA from 1 species